AGUCCAACUCACAUGGUAACUCCUCUGCCAUGACUACAGCAAUAUUUUGCCAUUCAAUUUGUUCUUCUGCAACGAACUUGGAACGCAAAGCCUCUUGUGAGAAGAGUUGUCAGUUGAGCUACAGACCUACAACUUAUUAUUGGCCGCCACUUAAAUUUGUUCACAGGAACGGUAAUUACGUACGGCCAAUGAGUUGAAUCUAUUACAAGAACCAGAACUUGUUGAUCCGAUGAUCCAGACAUUUCCUCCAAGACACCACUCGGGUGUUAGAUGACCUCACAAUCCCCAAAGCCCUCGUGUCACGUUGUUAUCACUGGAAAUUGGACUCCAAGAAACGCAUACUUGAAGGCUUGUAGGGUUCCAGGCUACUUACGGUGUGAUAAACAAAUAUCAUCAAUGGUGGCGUUGGAUGUGUUGAGGGAUGGUCAAAUGAGGAUCGCCUUGGGUUCUACAAGAGGUGCUGAGAUCUACUUGGAGUUAGAUAUGGCGACAAACUCCACUACUAGAAUGAAUGUCGUUUGCAUAC